rnacentral:rRNA from 1 species
AGCUAAGCAAGGUCAGGCCAGGUUAGUAUUUGGAUGGGAGACCACCUAGGAAGACUAGGAGCUAUAGGCU